rnacentral:rRNA from 1 species
GACGAACGCUGGCGGCGUGCUUAACAUAUGCAAGUCGAGCGAUGAAGCACCUUCGGGUGUGAAUUAGCGGCGAACGGGUGAGGAACACGUGAGAAAUCUGCCUUCAACUCUGGGAUAACUCCGUGAAAACGGGGCUAAUACCGGAUAUGAAACCUGCGGGCAUCCGCGGGUUUGGAAAGUUUUUCGGUUGAAGAUGAUCUCGUGGCCUAUCAGGUUGUUGGUGAGGUAAUGGCUCACCAAGGCGACGACGGGUAGCCGGCCUGAGAGGGCGACCGGCCACACUGGGACUGAGACACGGCCCAGACUCCUACGGGAGGCAGCAGUGGGGAAUAUUGGGCAAUGGAGGAAACUCUGACCCAGCGACGCCGCGUGCGGGAUGAAGGCCUUCGGGUUGUAAACCGCUUUCAGCAGGGAAGAAGCGAAAGUGACGGUACCUGCAGAAGAAGCACCGGCUAACUAUGUGCCAGCAGCCGCCGUAA